rnacentral:rRNA from 1 species
GACAGAGGUCUCGAGCGUUAGGCGGAAUCACUGGGCUUAAAGCGUGUGUAGGCGGAGUGCUAAGUACCUUGUGAAAUCCCACGGCUUAACCGUGGAACUGCUGGGUAUACUGGUUCUCUUGGGCCACUUAGGGGUUACCGGAACAAACGGUGGAGCGGUGAAAUGCGUUGAUAUCCUCAGGAACACCGGUGGCGAAGGCGACUCACUGGGUCUUUACUGACGCUGAUGCACGAAAGCUAGGGUAGCAAACGGG